GUCGCACCAUGUUGAAACACCGGUUCUCCUACAAUCAUCGAAGUUAAGCAAUGCUGAGCAUAGUCUGUACCUUGAUAAGUGAUCACUUGGGAAUACCAGAUGCUGUAAG